rnacentral:ncRNA from 1 species
AGUUAUAGCUAGGGGUGCCAAACGGCUGAGAGGAUUAAAAUCCAACCCUUGAACCUGAUGUGGUUAGUACCACCGUAGGAAAGCUUUUUUCAAAUAAU